AUCCACAAUCACCAUACCGACAUCAUAUGAUAUUGAAAAACUUAUCUACAUAUACAACCAUAAGUUGGAGUUAUUUUUUUCGAAUUUUUCUCUAUUUGAUAUGGAAUUUACGAGAAUUAAUUUUUGUUCAGAGCGAAGAUUUUUUUUGGGUGUAUAUUAAUCAGAUUAUGGCGAUCCUGUUUAUACUAUAAAAAUAUUGGUUUCAAAAGAAUAAUAUUCAGGUGUUUCUUCACUUAUCUAGAUUUCACUGAAUUGCGAGUUAGUGUUGCUCAUUAUCACCACCUUGUGGCUGAAAGGAAACGUAACACUUUCAAGAUUUCACUGAAUUGCGGAUUAUGAACCUUUGACCUCUCGAUCUGAUGAACGGUUAUUGUUGCCCAUUAUCACCACCUUGUGGCUGAAAGGAAACGUAACACUUUCAAGAUAAAGAUACAUGAACUUCGGAAGAACAUACGGUAAUUGUGCUCCUAUCCACAAUCACUACACCGACAACAUAUGACAUUGGAAAACCUAUCUACAUAUAGAACCAUAAGUUAGAGUUAUUUUUUUCAAAUUUUCUUCAAUUGUUUCAAAUCUUUUCAAAGGUUGAUAUGGAAUUUACGAGAAUCAAUUUUGUUCAGCGCGAAGGUUUUCUUUCGGUGUAUAUUAAUCAGGUUAUGGCGAUCCUGUUUAUACUAUAAAAAUAUUGGUUUUAAAGGAAUAAUGCGUAUUACAAGAGUGUACUAUUUUGCAACGAAGCCAUAAAUUGGCAAUAAUUAUUAGGAACAGAGAUCUAAAUCUGAAAACAGUGUAAUUUUAUGCGCAACUACUGAAGCUGGGAUUGACUUUUCGACCCAAAAGGCUCAAUAAUGUUUAAAAAAAUUACCAACAAGCAACUACUGAAGCUAGGAUUAACUUUGCAGGUUUAAUUCAACAAAUGGUCUACUGGCUUGAAGGUGAAAUGCGGUUUAAUUUUACCAAUCAAAUUUCUGAAACCAAUUACCAAUUGCUACAGGCUGACCGGGCAAGACCCAAGUUUUUUUGAUGACUGAAUUUUGGAAUAACUGAUUAUUUAAAUACUAAUAUCCAAAUACAUACUUAUAUAAACAGUAUUCUUAACUGAAAAUACUUAAUUACUGAAAAUAUGAAAACCUCAGGCCAGUAAAAAUUUUAUCUGAAAAUUUUAUCCCCCUUAAUGAAAAUUUUAUCCCCCUUAAUGCAUGAUGUGCCAAAUUUGUCACACACCUUACUAUCUAAAUAUUUCGAAAUGCUGAAGGAAUAGGUAAAAACAGCUAAGAUAGGCCUCUUCAUUGCUAAAUUACCCACCACUACGAAUUUUUUCACCUCCCCCAGCCCAACUGACACGAGAUUACAAUCAACCAGAGAUUGACUAUCAGCGACCCAGUGCGAAGUCUGCAACCCGCUUAUGAAAUUCGGAAAAUUUCCUCCGUUUAUUACGCAAUAGAGAAAUGCGUCGUGGACGCAUAGUAACCAUUGAGGUUAUACACUUCAAUGAUAGUAACCAAGUUACUCAACAGCAUAACCAAGUGGAGCAAUAUGAAAAACAACACGUGACCAAAAUAGAAGGUGUUUUCCCUGAUGUGCCAAAUUUGACCCGCCAUGCAUUGAAGAGAUAAACACCUUUUACUUAAAAAAAAUUUCAAGCAUUGCAGUGAAUCGUUGUUAUUUUUUUUUUCAUUUUCUGGAUUAUUUUGCCAUUAGCUCGUUAUUUUAAAGAAAUUCAAUAACUUAUAGCUCAUUUUGUCUUCGUAGUUAUUUUAGUUACGGUAAUUCAGCUAUUCUCAAAUGAUGUGUAUGAGAAUCAAAAAAAUCAUUAACCCUGUGAUGUCCUACUUUCUGUUACGUAGUUCUGACUCUAUUGUCACGUAAUAAUUGACGCAGACACUAAUUUAUCUACAAGUUUUUUUUAUGUG